rnacentral:rRNA from 1 species
CCUACGGGAGGCAGCAGUGGGGAAUUUUGGACAAUGGGGGCAACCCUGAUCCAGCAAUGCCGCGUGAGUGAAGAAGGCCUUCGGGUUGUAAAGCUCUUUUGUCAGGGAAGAAACACCGGCUCUAACACAGUCCGGGAAUGACGGUACCUGAAGAAUAAGCACCGGCUAACUACGUGCCAGCAGCCGCGGUAAUACGUAGGGUGCGAGCGUUAAUCGGAAUUACUGGGCGUAAAGCGUGCGCAGGCGGUUGUACAAGACAGGCGUGAAAUCCCCGGGCUUAACCUGGGAAUGGCGCCUGUGACUGUAUGGCUAGAGUGUGUCAGAGGGGGGUAGAAUUCCACGUGUAGCAGUGAAAUGCGUAGAUAUGCGGAGGAAUACCAAUGGCGAAGGCAGCCCCCUGGGAUAACACUGACGCUCAUGCACGAAAGCGUGGGGAGCAAACAGGAUUAGAUACCCUGGUAGUCCACGCCCUAAACGAUGCUGACUAGUUGUUCGGGAUUUACAUCCUGAGUAACGUAGCUAACGCGUGAAGUCAGCCGCCUGGGGAGUACGGUCGCAAGAUUAAAACUCAAAGGAAUUGACGG